GCGGGUAUGAUGGAAUUGGCAGACAUGCGAGAUUUAGGUUCUCGUGCUGAGAGGCGUGCAGGUUCGACCCCUGUUACCCGCACCA
rnacentral:tRNA from 3 species